AUUGAACGCUGGCUGCAGGCUUAACACAUGCAAGUCGAGCGAGCGGCGGACGGGUGAGUAAUGUCUGGGAAACUGCCUGAUGGAGGGGGAUAACUCCUGGAAACGGUAGCUAAUACCGCCUUCCAUCAGAUGUGCCCAGAUGGGCUUAGCUAGUAGGUGGGGUAAUGGCUCACCUAGGCGACGAUCCCUAGCUGGUAUGAGAGGAUGACCAGCCACACGGGAACUGAGACACGGUCCAGACUCCUACGGGAGGCAGCAGUGGGUAAUAUUGCACAAUGAGCGCAAGCCUGAUGCAGCCAUGCCGCGUGUGUGAAGAAGGCCUUCGGGUUGUAAAGCACUUUCAGCGGGGAGGCGUUACUCGCAGAAGAAGCACCGGCUAACUCCGUGCCAGCAGCCGCGGUAAUUC
rnacentral:rRNA from 1 species